rnacentral:rRNA from 1 species
AGUAAUGUAUGGGGAUCUGCCCGAUAGAGGGGGAUAACUACUGGAAACGGUGGCUAAUACCGCAUAAUGUCUACGGACCAAAGCAGGGGCUCUUCGGACCUUGCACUAUCGGAUGAACCCAUAUGGGAUUAGCUAGUAGGUGGGGUAAAGGCUCACCUAGGCGACGAUCUCUAGCUGGUCUAAGAGGAUGAUCAGCCACACUGGGACUGAGACACGGCCCAG